UGUAAACCUCUUUUAGCAGGAAGGAAGCGAAAGUGACGGUACCUGCAGAAAAAGCGCCGGCUAACUACGUGCCAGCAGCCGCGGUAAUACGUAGGGCGCAAGCGUUAUCCGGAAUUAUUGGGCGUAAGAAGCUCGUAGGCGGUUUGUCGCGUCUGCUGUGAAAUCCCGAGGCUCAACCUCGGGCCUGCAGUGGGUACGGGCAGACUAGAGUGCGGUAGGGGAGAUUGGAAUUCCUGGUGUAGCGGUGGAAUGCGCAGAUAUCAGGAGGAACACCGAUGGCGAAGGCAGAUCUCUGGGCCGUAACUGACGCUGAGGAGCGAAAGGGUGGGGAGCAAACAGGCUUAGAUACCCUGGUAGUCCACCCCGUAAACGUUGGGAACUAGUUGUGGGGUCCAUUCCACGGAUUCCGUGACGCAGCUAACGCAUUAAGUUCCCCGCCUGGGGAGUACGGCCGCAAGGCUAAAACUCAAAGGAAUUGACGGGGACCCGCACAAGCGGCGGAGCAUGCGGAUUAAUUCGAUGCAACGCGAAGAACCUUACCAAGGCUUGACAUAUACGAGAACGGGCCAGAAAUGGUCAACUCUUUGGACACUCGUAAACAGGUGGUGCAUGGUUGUCGUCAGCUCGUGUCGUGAGAUGUUGGGUUAAGUCCCGCAACGAGCGCAACCCUCGUUCUAUGUUGCCAGCACGUAAUGGUGGGAACUCAUGGGAUACUGCCGGGGUCAACUCGGAGGAAGGUGGGGAUGACGUCAAAUCAUCAUGCCCCUUAUGUCUUGGGCUUCACGCAUGCUACAAUGGCCGGUACAAAGGGCUGCAAUACCGCGAGGUGGAGCGAAUCCCAAAAAGCCGGUCCCAGUUCGGAUUGAGGUCUGCAACUCGACCUCAUGAAGUCGGAGUCGCUAGUAAUCGCAGAUCAGCAACG
rnacentral:rRNA from 1 species